rnacentral:rRNA from 1 species
AGCGAACGCUGGCGGCAGGCUUAACACAUGCAAGUCGAGCGCCCCGCCAGGGGAGCGGCAGACGGGAGAGUAACACGUGGGAACAUACCUUUUGGUUCGGAACAAUUGAGGGAAACUUCAGCUAAUACCGGAUAAGCCCUUACGGGGAAAGAUUUAUCGCCGAAAGAUUGGCCCGCGUCUGAUUAGCUAGUUGGUGAGGUAACGGCUCACCAAGGCGACGAUCAGUAGCUGGUCUGAGAGGAUGAUCAGCCUCACUGGGACUGAGACACGGCCCAGACUCCUACGGGAGGCAGCAGUGGGGAAUAUUGGACAAUGGGGGCAACCCUGAUCCAGCCAUGCCGCGUGAGUGAUGAAGGCCUUAGGGUUGUAAAGCUCUUUUGCCCGGGAAGAUAAUGACGGUACCGGGAGAAUAAGCCCCGGCUAACUUCGUG